rnacentral:tRNA from 1 species
GGGCUGUUAGCUCAGCUGGUAGAGCGCUUCCAUGGCAUGGAAGAGGCCGCAGGUUCAAGUCCUGUACAGUCCA